CGCGAGGGCGCGCUAGCGUCAGCUCACCCCGAGGCGGGCCGCGGUCGCUGCAUGGUGGCUGCGGGCGAGGUCGUCGGCGAGUCCGCGGUGCGGCUCGGCGGCCUACUGGGCGGCCGCUGGAAAAAUUACAACGAAAUACCCCAGAAACCCUUAACAUCCCACUGACAUAGAAGAUGAAGCAGUUGCAAUCGUGUCAGCAUGCAGACAGAUUCCACUAUGCAGCACGUGAUACGUCAGAGCAGGACAGAAUUCUUUAGAGACUCUGAGUUUCGAAUUUAUACAACAAAUGCACCAUUCGUUGCACCAACAGCAUUGCAUAGUGCACAUGGUACAUUGGAACAGAAAUCAAGUCAUUAUGCGGAAUUGUUUCCAGACUUUUACUUUCUACUCUCACCAAUGUCUGCCCCACUCGUCAAGAGGUGCUGCGGUAUACUGCGGCUACGAAAGUGGUGUUAAUCUCUGCAAUGUAAUGCUGAACGCAAUUGGCAGUAACCACAAUGUUGUGGGCUUUAUGCACAGAUAAUGAGUUCAACAUCUGCAGAUGAAAAAUUGUGUGUGCACUAAAUGUAUAUCUCCCAUGCUGUGUGUCAGAUUCCUAUUUUAGCUAGAGUAUGAGCAUUUUUGCCGUAAAAAAUUCAGGAUCAACGAAUAGUUUUCACAUGUUAAGUGUUUAAAUGCACUACUUUCAUUUGUCAUGUUGCCUCUUCUGGUAAUGAACUAUUGAGACCAACAAAAACUGCUGCGUCUCACUUUCUGACUUUGCAACAACUGAACUGUUAAGUUCCACCUUAUGUAAAAAUGUGUUAAGUCUCUUCGACCUAGCAGUAACUUGGCUGUAAGAUCAUGGUCCCUCACAUCAAGAACUGUUUUACUAGAUAUGUUUGCAUCCUAUGCAUGCAUUAGACUCGAGAUAUAGUUCAUUUAUAUGCUCCUGUACGCAGAUAAAAGUUUCUAGUUCCUCCUUGAGAUAUGUCUCCAUUGUUUCUUUAUCUAGAUUACCAAACGUGAAAAGCAUUCUCUUUCCAA